rnacentral:rRNA from 1 species
UACAGAGACUGCAAGCGUUAUUCGGAUUCACUGGGCGUAAAGGGUGCGCAGGCGGUUGGGUGUGUCAGAUGUGAAAUCCCGAGGCUUAACCUCGGAACUGCGUCUGAAACUACUCGACUAGAGUACUGGAGAGGGUAACGGAAUUCACGGUGUAGCAGUGAAAUGCGUAGAUAUCGGGAGGAACAUCAGUGGCGAAGGCGGCCCUCUGGUCCAGUACUGACACUCAAGUGCGAAAGCGUGGGGAGCAAACAGG